rnacentral:rRNA from 1 species
UACGUAGGGUGCGAGCGUUGUCCGGAAUUAUUGGGCGUAAAGAGCUCGUAGGCGGUUUGUUGCGUCUAUCGUGAAAACCUGCGGCUUAACUGUGGGCUUGCGGUGGAUACGGGCAGACUUGAGUUCGGUAGGGGAGACUGGAAUUCCUGGUGUAGCGGUGAAAUGCGCAGAUAUCAGGAGGAACACCGGUGGCGAAGGCGGUUCUCUGGGCCUUACCUGACGCUGAGGAGCGAAAGCGUGGGGAGCAAACAGG